UAAGUGGUUAAUGAUGAACAUUCUUUCCCCGACUUAUCGACAAUGGUGAGAGAUGUUGCAUUAAGCCAAUUUCUUUUCUGAAACCACUUG